rnacentral:lncRNA from 1 species
CAGAAGAACAAAAUUCAUGAAAACUUGAGCGAAACCACUCUGUUGUCACAAGUUCAUAAUGACCUUGCUAACAAGCUGGAUAUCAGCACCAACGGCAUUUCUUCUCUUAUAUUUUUGGAGAGCAAAGGUGCAUGCUACUGGAAACCCAUGGGAGGAAGAAAUAGAUUACACAUAUGUUAUUAUAGGAGUUACUCUGGGAGCAGUUCUAGCAAUCGGUUUUCUGGCAGUAAUAAUGUGCAUGAUCAAAGCCAAAAUGAUUGACAGUGGCUUUGGAGGUAAGAAAAAUAAUACUCCUGAUCCCUUUUCCAUAGAUCUUGCUCUCCUCAUCUUCUGAUACAGCAGAUCUGAGCUUCAGUGUUAGCAAUUGUGUAUUUACAACAGCUCUGGUGUUCCUGUGAAGAACUAUUUUAAAAGUGUCUGAAUUGCUGGACUGCCUAGAAGUGCAGACUUACAUUUCACUAUAACCAAGUUUACUCUUUAGCCUCAAAGUUGUUUCUCAUGAUACCCUGGGGAUAUGCUACAACCUAACUCAAACCAGACAAAGUAUUAGCUAAGACACAGGUCUGAGAAAACUGUCGUGAGAUGUUCCAGCUGGAAGAAGCAAGAAGGGCUUUAGGAAAGUUGCAUGACACAACUAAUAUCAAAGAGUUUUGCCUCAGAAAGGAUGGCUGGAUCUUUACCAGCUGUAACUAUGUACUCCUAGUUGCCUCCUCACAAAUUCUGUGGAGGCCUAUCACCACUCUGUUCUUGUUUCUUGACUAACC